CUGAAAAGUGAAAUUUGAACAGUCACGUUAUACCACAGUAAUUCACAGACCACAGCUGGAGAGCACAGUGGGCAUAACAUUGAUAGAUAAGAAUUUGACCCCUCUCCCUCUCCCUCUCCCCGUCUCCCUCUCCCUCUCCCUCUCCCCGUCUCCCUCUCCCUCUCAUGCCGAGCCAAAGCUGGACGGUACUGCUGCCAUCUCGGCUCACUGCAACCUCCCUGCCUGAUUCUCCUGCCUCAGCCUGCCGAGUGCCUGCGAUUGCAGGCGCGCGCCGCCACGCCUGACUGGUUUUCGUUUUUUUUUUGGUGGAGAUGGGGUUUCGCUGUGUUGGCCGGGCUGGUCUCCAGCUCCUAACCGCGAGUGAUCCGCCAGCCUCGGCCUCCCGAGGUGCCGGGAUUGCAGAUGGAGUCUCGUUCACUCAGUGCUCAAUGGUGCCCAGGCUGGAGUGCAGUGGCGUGAUCUCGGCUUGCUACAACCACCUCCCAGCCGCCUGCCUUGGCCUCCCAAAGAGCCGAGAUUGCAGCCUCUGCCCGGCCGCCACGCCGUCUGGGAAGUGAGGAGCGUCUCUGCUUGGCCACCCAUCGUCUGGGAUAUGAGGAGCCCCUCUGCCUGGCUGCCCAGUGUGGAAAGUGAGGAGCGUCUCUGCCCGGCCGCCAUCCCAUCUAGGAAGCGAGAAGCGCCUCUUCCCCGCCGCCAUCCCAUCUAGGAAGUGAGGAGCGUCUCUGCCCGGCCGCCCAUCGUCUGAGAUGUGGGGAGCACCUCUGCCCCACCGCCCUGUCUGGGAUGUGAGGAGCGCCUCUGCUGGGCCGCAACCCUGUCUGGGAGGUGAGGAGUGUCUCUGCCCGGCCGCUCCGUCUGAGAAGUGAGGAAACCCUCUGCCUGGCAACCGCCCCGUCUGAGAAGUGAGGAGCCCCUCCGUCUGGCAACCACCCCGUCUGGGAAGUGAGGAGCGUCUCCGCCCGGCAGCCACCCCGUCCGGGAGGGAGGUGGGGGGGGUCAGCCCCCCGCCCGGCCAGCCGCCCCGUCCGGGAGGUGAGGGGCUCCUCUGCCCGGCCGCCCCUACUGGGAAGUGAGGAGCCCCUCUGCCCGGCCAGCCGCCCCGUCCGGGAGGGAGGCGGGGGGGGGUGGUCGGCCAUCCGCCCCGUCCGGGAGGUGAGGGGCGCCUCUGCCCGGCCGCCCCUACUGGGAAGUGAGGAGCCCCUCUGCCCGGCCAGCCGCCCCGUCCGGGAGGGAGGUGGGGGGGUCAGCCCCCCUUCCGGCCGGCUGCCCCGUCCGGGAGGUGAGGGGCGCCUCUGCCGGGCCGCCCCUACUGGGAAGUGAGGACCCCUCUGCCCGGCCAGCCGCCCCAUCCGGGAGGGAGGUGGGGGGAACAGCCCCCCGCCCGGCCAGCCGCCCUAUCCAGGAGGUGAGGGGCGCCUCUGCCCGGCCGCCCCUACUGGGAAGUGAGGAGCCCCUCUGCCUGGCCAGCCGCCCCGUCCGGGAGGGCGGUGGGGGGGUCAGCCCCCCGCCCGGCCAGCCGCCCCAUCUGGGAGGUGAGGGGCGCUUCUGCCGGGCCGCCCCUACUGGGAAGUGAGGAGCCCCUCUGCCCGGCCACGACCCCGUCUGGGAGGUGUGCCCAGCGGCUCA
rnacentral:lncRNA from 1 species